UGGGGAAUAUUGCACAAUGGGCGCAAGCCUGAUGCAGCCAUGCCGCGUGUAUGAAGAAGGCCUUCGGGUUGUAAAGUACUUUCAGCGAGGAGGAAGGCGGUAAGGUUAAUAACCUUAUCGAUUGACGUUACUCGCAGAAGAAGCACCGGCUAACUCCGUGCCAGCAGCCGCGGUAAUACGGAGGGUGCAAGCGUUAAUCGGAAUUACUGGGCGUAAAGCGCACGCAGGCGGUCUGUCACGUCGGAUGUGAAAUCCCCGGGCUCAACCUGGGAACUGCAUUCGAAACUGGCAGGCCAGAGUCUUGUAGAGGGGGGUAGAAUUCCAGGUGUAGCGGUGAAAUGCGUAGAGAUCUGGAGGAAUACCGGUGGCGAAGGCGGCCCCCUGGACAAAGACUGACGCUCAGGUGCGAAAGCGUGGGGAGCAAACA
rnacentral:rRNA from 1 species